rnacentral:RNase_P_RNA from 1 species
UAAGUUGACCAGACAGUCACUAUACUUUUGUGUAGAGGAAAGUCCGGGCUCCUAGAGCAGAGUGAUGGCUAACAGCCAUACAUCGUGAGAUGAGGAAUAGGGCCACAGAGACGAGCGUAUUUAGUUACGGUGAAACGCGGUAACCUCCACUCGGAGCAAGGCCAAAUAGGAUAACGUUAGCACGGCUCGUGUUGUUAUCGGGUAGGCUGCUUGAACAUAUAAGUAAUUAUAUGUCUAGAUGAAUGACUGUCCAUGACAGAACCCGGCUUAUAGGUCAACUUACCUU